rnacentral:rRNA from 1 species
UACGGGGGGGGUAAGCGUUGUUCGGAAUUACUGGGCGUAAAGGGCUCGUAGGCGGCCAACUAAGUCGGACGUGAAAUCCCUCAGCUUAACUGGGGAACUGCGUCCGAUACUGGAUGGCUUGGAUUUGGGAGAGGGAUGCGGAAUUCCAGGUGUAGCGGUGAAAUGCGUAGAUAUCGGAAGGAACAUCAGUGGCGGAAGCGGCUUCCUGGACCAGUACCGACGUUCAGGCACGAAAGCGUGGGGAGCAAACAGG